CUGAAUUUGUAUAGAAGACUUGUAUAUCAUGACAUAGCUACUGUUUGUAAUUAUAGUAAUGUUCAUUUGAAUGAUUUGUGCCUUGGCUGAUUCAAUACAAGACAAUUAAGACUUUGCUUUUUAGCUGUUACAAUUCUAAUGACACAGUGCAUGUUCAAGAAUGCAUGAAAGAAAGAACACAAACUGUAAACAUUAUUGUUAGAUCUAUAUAGUAUUUAUUUUUAAAAUAUUUUUGUUU